ACUCACUGUCAGACACUGCAGAGUGAGAAACAGAUGAUGGUUCUGUGGCAAACGUCCUUUUGCUGAAUAUUCUACCUACGGAAGAAGCAAAGAAGUCUAAGUUCUUUGGAGUAAGAUGCUCUCAAAUGCCUAGGAACACUGAUCUCCUAACUUGUCUUCCUGCUUUGAGUGUCCCUCUGAGGUUAAAGUUCCUGCCUCAGUCUCCAACAAUGACUAUAAGCCUCUCUGGGCAAGAUCCACGUCUUACUCAUUUUUGUGUCUGCAGUUUAGUUCCUGGUUCAUUGUAGGUUCUCAAUAAACGUUUGUUAGAAUGAGUUGAUCUCUUGGAUCCAGUGCCCCAGAAAGAUAUGUCAUUUCCACUGCUGCCCACUGAGGAGUGCCACUGGAGAUGAUCUCACAACAAAGAGAGGGGGAGAGGUCAGGAACUAACAUCUAUUUUGUAGUUACCACUGUGGUAUGGUUUGCAACAUGGCUCUGUAACCCUCAGGAUCCCUACCAGAUAUUUUCAUCUAUUCCCUUAUUCUCCUCAGGUCCCUGGCCCUCCCCUUUCCUCUGUGCUCUCAGCAGCUGACCUUGUCUUUUCCUUUACUGAGAGUAGAGGCACCUCUUACAAAUACUCUGGCCUCUGCCUGGACUGACUGGGCUAAAUUGUCUCCGAAGAUGGCCACCAACCAUUCCUCCCACCUGUCUGCAUGCAGGCUGCUCCUCCCGUCAGAAGAUGGAGACUGCUUCCUUGCCCUUCAAUCCAAGCUGGCUCAUGACUUGCUUCAAUGAAUAGGAAAUGGCAGAAGUGAUGCUCUGAGGCUUCUGGGCCUAGACUUUAAGAGGUGUUGCCCCUUUCCUUUUUCCCUCUUGGGAUCCAGCCUACCACAUAGAGAAGUUUGGGUUGACAACUAAAUGUGAGAGAGAGACAGACAGAGAGAAGAGGGAGAGCUGAUUCAGCUAGACCUUAGUCAUUCCAGCCAUCCUAGCUGAAGCACUAGCAUGUGAAAGAAGCCACCUUCUAACCUAUCAAUCAGAGCCCCCAAUUUUACUGACCUCAGUCAACACCAUGUGGAACAGAACUACCCCAGGGAGCCCAACCAACCCAUACAAUCAUGAGAAAUUAAAAACUGAUGUUGUAGCCUCCUGAGUUUUAAGGUAGUUUGUUACACAAAAAUACUGGAAUUUUGACCCACCUUCACCUCCAAUGCCAACCUAGUAAACCUGGAUAUAUCUUUCAAAAUUUGGCUCAAGUGUCAACUCUUUCAUGAACCCUCUGUAUCCUUUUCUUGCUCAUUCAAGCCCUAUUUUCUCUUCUCCUCCCCAAAAUUCCAUAGUACUUUGUAUUACAAACUAUGUGCUUACAACCCCCAAAGUCUCUGGGCAUCCAGAAGGCAGAGAUUUGGCUUAAUUCAUUUUUGCCUCUGCCUAGCCUAACACCCGGCACAUUUAGAUAUUUAGUUAUUGUUUGCUGAAUGAAUGGAUGCAUGAAGAAGAAAAUUUAACAGAUGAUAUCUACAGGCACAUCUGGCUCCAAAAUUGAAUCAUGUCAUCUAGCAAUGCUCAGUAAAGUUAACAUAAGCAAUUUC
rnacentral:lncRNA from 1 species